AUGAUCAGUCACACUGGAACUGAGACACGGUCCAGACUCCUACGGGAGGCAGCAGUGGGGAAUAUUGGACAAUGGGCGAAAGCCUGAUCCAGCCAUGCCGCGUGUGUGAAGAAGGUCUUCGGAUUGUAAAGCACUUUAAGUUGGGAGGAAGGGCCAUUACCUAAUACGUGAUGGUUUUGACGUUACCGACAGAAUAAGCACCGGCUAACUCUGUGCCAGCAGCCGCGGUAAUACAGAGGGUGCAAGCGUUAAUCGGAAUUACUGGGCGUAAAGCGCGCGUAGGUGGUUUGUUAAGUUGGAUGUGAAAUCCCCGGGCUCANCCUGGGAACUGCAUUCAAAACUGACUGACUAGAGUAUGGUAGAGGGUGGUGGAAUUUCCUGUGUAGCGGUGAAAUGCGUAGAUAUAGGAAGGAACACCAGUGGCGAAGCGACCACCUGGACUGAUACU
rnacentral:rRNA from 1 species